rnacentral:rRNA from 1 species
AACGAACGCUGGCGGCAUGCCUAACACAUGCAAGUCGAACGAAGGCUUCGGCCUUAGUGGCGCACGGGUGCGUAACGCGUGGGAAUCUGCCCUUUGGUUCGGAAUAACAGCUGGAAAUGGCUGCUAAUACCGGAUGAUGACGAAAGUCCAAAGAUUUAUCGCCAGAGGAUGAGCCCGCGUUGGAUUAGGUAGUUGGUGGGGUAAAGGCCUACCAAGCCGACGAUCCAUAGCUGGUCUGAGAGGAUGAUCAGCCACACUGGGACUGAGACACGGCCCAGACUCCUACGGGAGGCAGCAGUGGGGAAUAUUGGACAAUGGGCGCAAGCCUGAUCCAGCAAUGCCGCGUGAGUGGUGAAGGCCCUAGGGUUGUAAAGCUCUUUUACCCGGGAAGAUAAUGACUGUACCGGGAGAAUAAGCCCCGGCUAACUCCGUG